UGGGGAAUAUUGCGCAAUGGGCGAAAGCCUGACCCAGCAACGCCGCGUGAGUGAAGAAGGCCUUCGGGUUGUAAAGCUCUUUCGGCGGGGACGAAACGGUUCGUGACAACACCACGGACUAAUGACGGUACCCGCAUAAGAAGCACCGGCUAACUACGUGCCAGCAGCCGCGGUAAUACGUAGGGUGCAGGCGUUAAUCGGAAUUACUGGGCGUAAAGCGUGCGCAGGCGGUUUGUUAAGACAGGUGUGAAAUCCCCGGGCUUAACCUGGGAAUUGCGCUUGUAACUGGCAGGCUAGAGUGUGGCAGAGGGGGGUGGAAUUCCACGUGUAGCAGUGAAAUGCGUAGAUGUGUGGAGGAACACCGAUGGCGAAGGCAGCCCCCUGGGUUAACACUGACGCUCAUGCACGAAAGCGUGGGGAGCAAACAGGAUUAGAUACCCGGGUAGUCCCUGAGCGGGCUGGCAAGGCGCAU
rnacentral:rRNA from 1 species